rnacentral:rRNA from 1 species
AUUGAACGCUGGCGGCAUGCCUUACACAUGCAAGUCGAACGGCAGCGGACCUUCGGGUGCCGGCGAGUGGCGAACGGGUGAGUAAUGUAUCGGAACGUACCUUUCAGUGGGGGAUAACGUAGCGAAAGUUACGCUAAUACCGCAUAUUCUGUGAGCAGGAAAGCAGGGGAUCGCAAGACCUUGCGCUGAUUGCGCGGCCGAUAUCAGAUUAGCUAGUUGGUGAGGUAAAGGCUCACCAAGGCGACGAUCUGUAGCGGGUCUGAGAGGAUGAUCCGCCACACUGGAACUGAGACACGGUCCAGACUCCUACGGGAGGCAGCAGUGGGGAAUUUUGGACAAUGGGGGCAACCCUGGUCCAGCCAUGCCGCGUGAGUGAAGAAGGCCUUCGGGUUGUAAAGCUCUUUCGGCCGGGAAGAAAUCGCAUGGGUUAAUACCCUGUGCGGAUGACGGUACCGGCAUAAGAAGCACCGGCUAACUACGUGCCAGCCGCCGCGGUAACAC